rnacentral:rRNA from 1 species
AUGGAUGUGCCUCUGCCUUCACAGUCCAACCGUGCUGGAUGCAAUGGAAGCGUCGGCAGCCCGUCGGAUGAUCCAUAUGGCGUUACGGCCAUGAUGAACUUUGAUGGGUACUCAGAGCUCUGCGGCAGCCCUUCGUUAGCUGACCAGCUGUUCUCGUUGCUGAACGACUCGUCCACACACCAGAUGUUUGCUAUGUGGUCAUCCUUGGGAUCUUCGCCGCGUGCUUCUGGUGUCAGUGAAGAUAUGCAGCUCGAUGCCUAUUCCAGUGUACCCGGGGAUCAAAAGGUUGAUUUGGUAUCUUCGGUGAAUCCAGCUGAAACUGGGACCGGGAGAAUGGCCAAGAGUUCAGGCGACCUUGGCUCAGAUGGUGAUCCCGAACAAGGAAGUACUAGCUUGGUUCCCAGGCCUAUUGCCGGCAACUUACUCGCUGACAGGAUGCUCAUGGCUCUGUCUUUGUUCAGGAAGUCACUUGGCGGCGGCAUUCUUGCGCAGGUCUGGAUGCCUGUUGAGCAGGAGGGGCAUGUCGUGCUUAGUACAUGUGAACAGCCGUUUCUGCUUGACCAAGCUCUUGCUGGGUACAGAGAAGUAUCCAGGCAUUUUGUGUUCUCUGCUAAGGAGGAGACUGGCCUUCAACCAGGGCUUCCAGGGAGGGUCUUCAUCUCCGGUGUGCCAGAAUGGACCUCAAAUGUGCUCUACUACAGCAAGCCAGAGUAUUUGAGGAUGGAGUAUGCUCUUCACCAUGAAGUUCGAGGAUCACUUGCAAUGCCGAUAUAUGACCCUAGCAAGGGCUCUUGCUGUGCGGUGCUUGAGCUUAUCACAAAGAAGGAGAAACCUGACUUCGAUGCAGAAAUGAACAACCUUCGCCAUGCAUUGCAGGCUGUGAACUUGGAGACAGCAAAAGAUUGUAUCGAUCAGAAGGUUUAUUCAGCAAAUCAGAAAGCCGCCUUCACUGAGAUUUUGGAUGUUCUAAGAGCUAUUUGCCAUGCACACAUGCUUCCGUUGGCCCUUACAUGGGUCCCUUCAUCAAAUGGUAGUGAUGGUGGUUAUGUUGGACAUGAUAGUGUCCUUGAUUCUCAGUCAGGGAAAGCGAUACUCCGCAUCCAUGAAUCAGCGUGUUAUGUUAAUGAUGCAAAGAUGCAAGGUUUUUUUCAUGCAUGCACUGAAACUCAUCUUGAGAAAGGGCAAGGUAUUGCAGGCCGAGCACUCAAGUCCAAUCUGCCGUUCUUCUCUCCUAAUAUAAGAGAAUACGGAAUUAAGGAUUACCCACUCGCACACCAUGCUCGUAAGUUUGGUCUGCAUGCUGCUGUAGCAAUCCGGCUAAGGAGCACAUACACUGGUGAUGAUGACUACAUACUAGAAUUCUUUCUACCAAUCAACUGCACAGGCAGUGAAGAACAACAGAUGUUAUUGAAUAACCUGUCCAGUACUAUGCAAAGAAUAUGCAAAAGUUUGCGAACAGUUUCUGAAGCAGAGGUUGAUAAAGUUGACGCUUGUACUGCAGUAAUGUAUAAGGCAACCAGUGGAAGUUGCUUGCCUACUGGUCAGUCUUGGAGUUCUUCACAUGGUGAUCAACCUGCCACAGAAGAGGCAUUCCAGGAUCUAUCUUUAAUUGAUAAGCAAGGGGACAUGUCCGAGCAGGCACAGUCUAGUUCAAUGCGACUUGCGGAGAAAAAGCGCAGUACAGCGGAGAAGAAUAUUGGCAUGGAUGUUCUCCGUAAGUACUUUUCUGGGAGCCUAAAGGAUGCUGCAAAGAGCCUCGGUGUUUGUCCAACAACCUUGAAACGGAUAUGCCGCACACAUGGAAUUUCGCGAUGGCCAUCUCGCAAGAUAAACAAGGUCAACCGUUCGUUAAAGAAGAUCCAAACUGUCAUUAACUCUGUCCAUGGAGUGGACAGCUCUUUGCAGUAUGAUCCAGCUACUGGAUCUCUUGUUCCAGCAGUUUCUCUGCCAGAGAAGACUUCAUUCCCUUCAUGUGAUGCUGUGUCUAGUCCAUCUGUUGGGAAAACUGUGGAUGAAAAAUCUGGCCCAAAAUCUGAGCAAGGGUAUUCGUCACCUGAAGGAUGGGAAAGAGAUAGCUGUCAGUUGCAGCGCUCUGAUGCGCAGAAAGGGGAAGGCGGUGAAUUUCACAUGCAGACAACUAACUAUAGUGGCAGUGGUGAUCACGGCUCUUAUGGUCCGAAUAUCACACAUCAUAUUAGUUCUGAAGGAACACAAGGACCAUUAUAUCCCACUGGUGCUGUUAGUGCUUUACAUGACAAAGAAACAGGUUGCAUCGAACCUUUGCCCUGUGUCCUCCCAAGCAUCAAGACUACCAGGGACCAAAUAGUGGGAAGGAACUCACCACCCAUGCAACAAGCAGAUAUUGAUAUGUUUGAUGAUCGCGAAGGCAGGGAGCAUACUCAUCCUUCUACCUCUGGUAUGACAGACUCUUCUAGCGGCAGUGCAUCAAGCCACCCUACAUUCAAGAAGAACCCAGCACGCCCACUUAAGGACAAGAGCAGCCCUGCACUUACGGUCAAGGCGACGUACAAUGGAGACACCGUGCGGUUCAAGUUCUUGCCAUCGAUGGGCUGGUACCACCUGCUGGAAGAAAUAGCCAAGAGGUUCAAGCUGUUGACCGGGGUGUUCCAGCUCAAGUACAAGGAUGACGAGGACGAGUGGGUCAUCAUGGCGAACGACUCCGAUCUCCAGGAGUGCGUCGACGUCAUGGACUCGAUGGGCACGCGCAACGUGAAGCUCCAGGUCCGGGAUCUCCCGUGCCUCAUCAGCAGCUCGGGCAGCAGCAGCUGCUUGCAGCUGGAAGGACACAAUUCAUGA